rnacentral:rRNA from 1 species
UACGUAGGGUGCAAGCGUUGUCCGGAAUUAUUGGGCGUAAAGAGCUCGUAGGCGGUCUGUCGCGUCUGCUGUGAAAACUCGGGGCUUAACCCCGGGCCUGCAGUGGGUACGGGCAGACUAGGGUGCGGUAGGGGAGACUGGAAUUCCUGGUGUAGCGGUGAAAUGCGCAGAUAUCAGGAGGAACACCGGUGGCGAAGGCGCCACUCUGGGCCGAAACUGACGCUGAGGAGCGAAAGCGUGGGUAGCAAACAGG